rnacentral:rRNA from 1 species
UACGUAGGUGACAAGCGUUGUCCGGAUUUACUGGGCGUAAAGAGCGCGCAGGCGGUCGAUCAAGUCGAGUGUGAAAGCCCCCGGCUCAACUGGGGAGGGUCAUUCGAUACUGAUCGACUCGAAGGCAGGAGAGGGUAGUGGAAUUCCCGGUGUAGUGGUGAAAUGCGUAGAUAUUGGGAAGAACACCGGUGGCGAAGGCGGCUCUCUGGACCGAGACUGACGCUGAGGCGCGAAAGCGUGGGGAGCAAACAGG